UACGGGGGGGGCAAGCGUUGUUCGGAAUUACUGGGCGUAAAGCGUGUGUAGGCGGUCCACUAAGUCGGAUGUGAAAGCCCUGGGCUCAACCCAGGAAGUGCACUCGAAACUGGCGGGCUAGAGUAUCGGAGAGGUUGGUGGAAUUCUCGGUGUAGAGGUGAAAUUCGUAGAUAUCGAGAGGAACACCUGCGGCGAAGGCGGGUUGCUGGGCUGACACUGACGCUGAUGCGCGAAAGCCAGGGGAGCGAACGGG
rnacentral:rRNA from 1 species